ensembl:lncRNA
CCAUAUUUUAUAGUGGCAGAGUACUGCAAAGGGCUUGUAAAUAGGGCUGUACCUCUGCUAUGCUCUCACCCUGCAGUUUCCCUGCAGUCACAGCAUAGUCUGUGUAAUGCAGAGGUUGUAAUGCGCAGUGUUGCUCUUAAGAUCUGCUCUCUUGAUUUAACAACUCCGCAUUGCUAGCUCACCCAUAGGCAUCUGUGAGCUAUACUCACCACCCCAGUGCAGCUUUCUCAAACUACACGAUUCCUAAAAGUGAGCAGAAUGAAUGGUUGGUUGAAAUAGAAAAACAAGAAAAUGGAAGCCUUCAUUUUUAGACAGUCUCUGUAGGACAGCAGGAAGAGAACAGACAUUUUCCCUCAACGUCAGGUUGGAAAGCUCUCAUCUCUGUCUAGAGUUCAAGGUGGACAUUAUUCAUCUCUUCCCUGUUGAGAUGACUCAGAGUUUCCCUCAGACGUCCUGGAAAAAAAAUAAGACAUUGGAACACUUGUCAUCCGUGUGCAGAGUUGAAAUGAAUUUUCUUUCAUCACAAUAACGCAAGGUUAAAAUGCAGCUAAUAAAGUCUCAGCAUCUGUGCA